UGCUUCAAGCAGCCUUUGCUAGGGAAGCAAGGCCUAUUGUGCCCCUUACAGCUAGUGCUUAUUUCUUCAGCUUUCCAUUUUUUUUCCCUCUCUUCACAGCCCCUUUCAUCUGGAGGGGGACUAAUAUUAAAUUCAGUAUGAAAAUGACAUCUUCUCUAUUCAACUAAUUUAGAACUAAUACAGAGAAGUAUCUCUGUCGCUGAGCAGACUGCUACCUUUUUGGUAGUUUAAAUAAUUUGUGCCAUGCAGCAAGGCACAAAUAAAACCAUAGGAAACAAAAAUAAUAACUAAGGAAAUAUCUACAAGAAACUGAUGGCAGCACGGGAGAUUUACUGUAGAGCAGGGUUCCAGCUCUUAACUGGAAGCUUGAUGUUGCCUGCAGAAUGGAAAUACAGUGAGAUUUCACUUAGAAAACAAAGAAAUUGAAUGAAAUGAAAUUGAAUGAAAUGAAAUUCACUUAGUAAACAAUGAAAAUGAGAGGGCAGUGAGACACUGGCACAACUGCCCAGAGAGCUGUGGGUGCCCCAUCCCUGCAGGCGCUCAAGGCCGGGUUGGGUGGGCCCUGGGCAGCCUGAGCUUGUGGGGGGCAACCCUGUCCAUGUCAGGGGUUUGGAACUAGGUGAUCUUUGAGGUCCUUUCCAACCCAAGCCAUUCUGUGAUUCUAUGCAAUUUGGAUUUUUUUUCAGAAUUCUCCAAUCCGCUGUCCAGAACACCCCUGUAAAAGAUGGCUGGGGACAUGAAAACCCCGGAACCUGGGCUAGCAAGUGGCUGGGAUGCCUGAGGUGCUGAAGGAUGCAGCUGGGCAUCGAGGGGAAACUCCUUUUUUUUUUUAUUUUUUUUUUAUUUUUUUAUACGGUGUUUCCAAUCACCGUGCUUGGUGCUGAGAGGAUUUUGCACAUGUAGAGAAAUGCGGAGUGAGGUGGUGGAGCCAGAGCGGGCUUGGACAGCCCUCUGGUGGCCUGGGAACCGGGCUGACGGCUGGGACAGGGAUUAGAAUUAGGAAAAAUUCAUCCCUUCCUUUCCUUUUUCACCAGAAUUUCUCUUGGCGCUCCGCAGCAGCUUUGGUUUAUGUCAACACCAGACACAAGGAUGCAUUUCAGUUCCUGUUUGGCCACUGUAAAGACACACUGGGAGAUGAAAGAGAGAGGAGGAAUGGGUUAAGAGGAUGUGCAGUAAAGACUGAGAGCAUCAGCAAGCCCUGGGGCAGGAUCCCUGAAAAGAGCAGCAGGAUUUGCAGAGCUGUCUGCUUGAGAGGAUGCUGUCCUGCAGCAUCCGAGGAGAUGGACCUGGAGCCUGGCACGGUUAGGGAGCUCAGCCUGAAGCCCUUGUCCCAGGACCAGAAGCCUGAGGAAACAGCUGACAAGGACUUGCAGAAGAGAUCAUAAGGCAACAGCCUUUCAGCCAGACGCACACACACAGGCUGCCUGGACAGCUGUCUGAGCCCGUCUGUCCCAGCUGGAACAGCACGCCUCUCCUCUGGGUAUAAAGGAACAGUGUUUUACAGCUUGGAAGUAAAAGGUAUUUUCAUUUGGAAGACACUUGCUUUUAAUACUCUGCUAAGUGAUUUUUUAAUGUCACAAGUCUAACCGAAAAGAAGCAUGGUUCCAGAGCUUAAAUCUGCUGUAGAUUUUUAAUGCAGUCUGGAGAUUUUCAGGUGGAAGAAACAAAGAAGUAGUCAAUAACUGGACAGUAAUCUCUAGUUCUCUUUUCUGCUACUCACUGGCCCAGGGCUGUCACUGCUUUUAGCACUUUCCAAACAAAUCAAAUCCACCGAUCAGUGCAUUGCGACUGCCAACAUAUGUGCCAGAUUUGGCAACUGAAACACUGUACUUUAUUCCUUUAUUCUCUAGGAAAAAUCUACGAUUAAGACACAUUUGAGCGCUGUGACAAUGGAUACCUGCUGGGAGGCUGGCUUUGCUCCUUGAGUGCCCAGAUAACAACAGUGCCUGGUGUAACUCAGGGUACCUUCAUGUCUUCUGCAUGAC
ensembl:lncRNA